CAGUUUUGGAUAGACCUUUUUGGUGAUCUCCAAGAUGCAGGGCAUUUCAACGGCAGUCAUGAACUGCAAUGUUUGCUACGAUUCUCUUUCAACAAUGUGCUUCAGAAGGAUCUCGAUGAGUACACAGAGCUGUGGAACCUCCAUCGGAUACGACCAUCCAGACUUGCUAUAUGUCCAGGUGGAGUUCCAACUGAGCUUUACAGUUUACCUCACAGAUUUGGGUCCAGGGACUGUGGAUUCAGAGUAGAAGAAGAGGAACUCCUUACGUUUUCAGAGCUAGGUAAUAUGGUUGUAUCAUGUGGAGACACAGAAAUACAAGCAUAUGUGGAACACAUGGAACAAAAUUUGCAAAGCCCUGACAACUGGGAGUCAGCUUUACAAUUGUAUCUUACAUUAAAAUAAAUUUCCGGGCUCUAAAUUUCUAAACAUUACGAACUUCUACUCUGACGAAUACUACUUGUUUAGCAGAGUAUAGUUCAGUCCACUAUACAGUGUACACUAUAUACGAUUUAUAUACAUUUCUUUUAAACAUUAACAAUUGUACAAACAGCAUUAACAUUUUUUUU